rnacentral:rRNA from 1 species
CAUCGCCUCUUGCUUAACUACUAUAAGAGGUCCCGCCUGCCCUGUGACAAUGUUUAACGGCCGCGGUAUUUUGACCGUGCGAAGGUAGCGUAAUCACUUGUCUUUUAAAUGAAGACCUGUAUGAAAGGCAUCACGAGAGUUUAACUGUCUCUAUUUUCUAAUCAAUGAAAUUGAUCUUCUCGUGCAGAAGCGAGAAUAUAACCAUUAGACGAGAAGACCCUAUGGAGCUUCAAACACUUAAAUUAACUAUGUAAAAUUAUAAUCCCACGGGAAAAAUCAUUUAUACAAUAUUCCUAAUUUAACUGUUUUUGGUUGGGGUGACCGAGGGGGAAAGAAAAUCCCCCCCAUCGAUUGAGUACUCAGUACUUAAAAGUUAGAACGACAGUUCUAAUCAAUAAAACAUUUACCGAAAAAUGACCCAGAAUUUUUUCUGAUCAAUGAACCAAGUUACCCUAGGGAUAACAGCGCAAUCCUUUCCCAGAGUCCCUAUCGCCGAAAGGGUUUACGACCUCGAUGUUGGAUCAGGACAUCCUAAUGGUGCAACCGCUAUUAAGGGUUCGUUUGUUCAACGAUUAAUAGUCCUACG